CAGGCCUAACACAUGCAAGUCGAGCGAGAAGCUCAUGACAGAAUCUUCGGAGGACGGAUUGAGUGGAAAGCGGCGGACGGGUGAGUAACGCGUGGGUAACCUGCCCUGUACAGAGGAAUAGCCAUUGGAAACGAUGAUUAAUGCCUCAUAAGACUACAGUAUCGCAUGAUACAGUAGCCAAAACUCCGGUGGUACAGGAUGGACCCGCGUUAGAUUAGCUAGUUGGUAAGGUAAAGGCUUACCAAGGCGACGAUCUAUAGCCGACCUGAGAGGGAGAUCGGCCACACUGGAACUGAGACACGGUCCAGACUCCUACGGGAGGCAGCAGUGGGGAAUAUUGCACAAUGGGCGAAAGCCUGAUGCAGCAACGCCGCGUGAGCGAAGAAGGUCUUCGGAUCGUAAAGCUCUGUCCUAUGGGAAGAACACAAUGACGGUACCAUAGGAGGAAGCCCCGGCUAACUACGUGCCAGCAGCCGCGGUAAUACGUAGGGGGCAAGCGUUAUCCGGAAUCACUGGGCGUAAAGGGUGCGUAGGCGGUUUCUCAAGCCAGAAGUGAAAGGCAAUGGCUCAACCAUUGUAAGCUUUUGGAACUGAGAGACUUGAGUGCAGGAGAGGAAAGUGGAAUUCCUAGUGUAGAGGUGAAAUUCGUAGAUAUUAGGAGGAACACCAGUGGCGAAGGCGACUUUCUGGACUGUAACUGACGCUGAGGCACGAAAGUGUGGGGAGCGA
rnacentral:rRNA from 1 species